GUCCACGCCCUAAACGAUGCAUAUUUGGUGUGGGUCAUUCAGUUGAUCCGUGCCGGAGCUAACGCGUUAAAUAUGCCGCCUGGGGAGUACAGUCGCAAGGCUGAAACUCAAAGGAAUUGACGGGGGCCGCACAAGCGGUGGAGCAUGUGGUUCAAUUCGACGCAACGCGAAGAACCUUACCUGGGCUCGAACGGCUUCUCAACGCCGGUAGAAAUACCGGUAUCCCGCAAGGGAGUGGAGUCGAGGUGCUGCAUGGCUGUCGU
rnacentral:rRNA from 1 species